rnacentral:ncRNA from 1 species
UAAUGUAUUUUAUUUUAGUAAAAAAAUUUUUUAAACUCUUUUUUUUACAUGCAAAUUUUUGUGUAUGAAAUUUUAAUAUAUAAUUUGGUAGUAAUUAUGAUUAAUUAAUUUAAAGAAUUUUAGAAUUAUAAAUUGAUAAAAAAUUUAACUAAUUUUGUGCCAGCAGUUGCGGUUAUACAAUUAAAUUGAAAAAAUUUUUAGUCAUAUUAAUUAUUUUUCUGUAUGAAAUAAACAUAAAAAUUUAAGGUAAAAUUUUAUUUUUAUUUAGUAUUCUAAAUUUUAUUUAAUUAAGAAACUAUAAGUAAAUCAGGAUUAGAUACCCUGUUAUAGGUGUGUAAAUAUAGUGGAGUAGUAAUAGUUAUGGUCUAGGAACUCAAAAAAUUUGGCGGUAUUUUAUCUUAUCAGAGGAACCUGUUUAGUAAUUGAUAUCCCACAACUUAUAUUUACUUUUAUUAUUAUAUUUGUAUACCGCCGUCAUGAAUCUAUUAAAAAAUUUAAUUUUCCGUUAUUCUUAUGGAAUACAUGUUAGGUCAAGGUGCAGUGUGUAAAAGUUAUAAAUGGGUUACUUUAGUAUCAUGAAUGAAAUAAAAUAUAAAAAACUGUUAUGAAAUAGGAUUUGAUAGUAAACUAAUUUAGAGAAAUUUAAUGAAAAAAGAUUCUAAAAUAUGUACACAUUGCCCGUCACUCUUGUUUAAAAUAAGAUAAGUCGUAACAUAGUAGAUGUACCGGAAGGUGUAUCUGGAAUUA